GUGGGGAAUAUUCCGCAAUGGACGAAAGUCUGACGGAGCAACGCCGCGUGAGUGAUGAAGGUUUUCGGACUGUAAAGCUCUGUUGUUUAGGACGAAAGUGCCUGUUGCAAAUAGUUACAGGUAUUGACGGUACUGAACGAGGAAGCCACGGCUAACUACGUGCCAGCAGCCGCGGUAAUACGUAGGUGGCAAGCGUUGUCCGGAAUUAUUGGGCGUAAAGAGCAUGUAGGCGGGAAUCUAAGUCUGUUGUGAAAAUGCGGGGCUCAACCCCGUAUUGCGAUGGAAACUGGGUUUCUUGAGUGCAGGAGAGGAAAGGGGAAUUCCCAGUGUAGUGGUGAAAUGCGUAGAUAUUGGGAGGAACACCAGUGGCGAAGGCGCCUUUCUGGACUGUGUCUGACGCUGAGAUGCGAAAGCCAGGGUAGCGAACGGGAUUAGAUACCCUAGUAGUCC
rnacentral:rRNA from 1 species